UACAGAGGGUGCGAGCGUUGUCCGGAAUCACUGGGCGUAAAGCGCACGUAGGCGGCUUUGUAGGUUAGAGGUGAAAGCCCGGAGCUCAACUCCGGAAUUGCCUUUAAGACUGCAUCGCUUGAAUCCAGGAGAGGUGAGUGGAAUUCCGAGUGUAGAGGUGAAAUUCGUAGAUAUUGGGAAGAACACCGAUGGCGAAGGCAGCCAUCUGGACCGACACUGACGCUGAGGCGCGAAAGCGUGGGGAGCAAACAGG
rnacentral:rRNA from 1 species